AUUUUUGGCUGCAUUUGCAAAACAGGGUGAAAAUGAGCGUAUUGUGAAUAAUGGUCCAUGGAUGUUCAGUAAUAGUUGUGGUUUUGAGUCUUGAUAGUGUGUGAUGGCUCGUUGCAACUCUCAAAGGUUCCUCUCUCUAUGGCUUCUUCCUGGGUUCAGUUUUAUGAUUUCCUAAUGGAUGGGAUGAAUGCUAGGAUAGUAUAAAAGAUUGCAAAAACUUUGGCCCAUGUUGAGGACAUUGACUUAAAAGAGUCACAGCCAGGGUGGGGAGAAUUCGUUCAGGUCAGGAUCUCUUUGGAUAUUAAUAAGCCAUUGUCGCGUGGUAAAAGGGUAUCGAGGGAAGCCAAGAUUAUGUUUGGAUUCACUUCAAAUACGAGCGGCUAUCAUAAGUUUGUUAUUAUUGUGGUUUAGAUGGGCAAGGUGAUCGGGAUUGCUUGAUGUGGAUAUGAAACAAAGAGAAGUUUGAAAAUGAAGGAUUUCCUUACAGUCCAUGGUUACGGGUUAGGGAUGCAUCAAUGCAGAAUAAGCCUAGGGUGGAAGUUAAAAACAAUAUGAAUGAAGGACCUUCUUCUUCUGUGACAGUGAAUGCUGAAAAUCACUGUAUUCCAUCUCCAGCGAAGUCUCUGGCGGUGAUGAACGCUUUUGGUCCACUAUCACAGGCAGUUAUUGGUGGGAAGCAGUUGCAUGAUGACCCAAAACCGUUGCCAAAUAUCUCUAAGUUUGUUGCUAAGCCUUUUAGGCUUAAUCCAACUUCAAGUGGGCCUUGUAUACGGCUUGGUCCAUCACUAUUAGUUGAAGCCUUAGCAAAGACUCAUUCUUCUGUCAUGCCUAAAUUGUGAAGGGGGAAGGGAACUCUAUGGAUUGGCAACCGUAACCUGCGUGGUACAUCUCAACGAGCAAUGGUGGUUCCAUCCAAACAGAAACAUAGUCAAGUUGAGAAACUAUCAUAAGAUUCUAUUAGUUUGGGUCAACUUAAGAAAUUGGAAUCUAUUGAUGAGGAAGCUAUGGUGGAGAUUCCAAUUUUAUCAAUGAAGGCUGAGGCUCAACCCUAUCGGACGCCAUGAAGAUAAUAAGCUAGAACUCCUGAGGGCUUGGGAACCCGCGGGGAGUUCGUAUACUCCAAGAUUUGAUUUGGAGGGAAGAUCCCGAAGUUUUCUUUGUUAUGAAGACUCACUGUGACGUUCGUCACAUGGAAAGACUUAAGUUUCAACUGGGGUUUUCUUGCUUUCUUGCGGUGGCUAGCGAUGGUCAAAGUGGAGGUCUUUGUCUCUUUUGGUGUAGUGAGCAUAUUGGAGUCUAAAUCUGUUGUUCAAUCUAGCCAUUUGUGGUGUAUUGCUAGAGGAGAGCAAGUGAAGAUUUAGUCAAAUAAUUGGUUCCUAAGCUCCCCAAACAGGAAAGUUAUUACUGCUAAUGCAUAUGUUAGCGAUUUAUUGGACUCUUCACAGUCCGGUCGGUGGAGGAUAGAUUUGAUACACCAAGUAUUUCUUCCUUUUGAGGCUUCUGAAAUCCUUAAAAUUCCAUUAUUUUCUCAUCAAAAUGCUGAUAAAAUGGUGUGAGAUUGUACACAAAAUGGUCAUUUUUGUGUGAGGUCAGCCUAUCAUUUAGCACUUCAAUUAAGAAAUGUUAUUGUAGCUGGAAGUAGUUCAAAUGUGAACUCUAAUGCAUCAUUUUGGAAGAGUAUUUGGCAUCUGCAGUUACCUAAUAAAGUAAAAAAAAAAUGUUGAGGGCAUGUAAUGAUGGCUUAUCCACCAAAAGCUAGCUACAUCAUCGUAAAAUAAUUCAUUCUAGUGUGUGUGGUUUCUGCCUUGUGGAGACUAAAGAUAUUUAUCAUGCACUAUGCAAAUGUUCUAAUAUUUCAAGAGUUUGGGUGAAUUAUUUUGAACAGGAUUAGCAUCUUCUGGAUGAGCAUUCCCGAUUUUAUAGAUUGGUUGGGGCAAUUAUGGCUCUUAAUGAUCUAAGUGUUCUUUUACGUCUUGCUGAUGUUGUUUGGGGUAUUUGAAAAUUUAGUAAUUUAAAGAUUUUCCAGCAUACAUAGGUUUCUAUUUGUGAUGUUUUGAGGAAUUGCUUUUCAAAUGUUAUUUGUUGGGUCGACAAUGUAUACAAGUUCCUCAGCAUCAAAUUAUAAACUUCUUUAUGUUGGAAACCUCCACCAAGUGGAUAGUGCAAGUUGAAUUUUGAUGGGGCUGUCUUCAGUCAGUAAUAUAAGUCUGGGGUGGGUGUAGUCUUGAAGGUUGACAAAGGGAGUACGAUUAUGGCCAUGUUAAGAAAGGAAAAAUGAAUCUUUUUGGUGGAAGACAUUGAGACGUUAGUGGCUUUAAUCUCAUAUGGAAAUUUCUCAUUUGAUCUUGGAGGGAGAUUCCCUUAUUGUUAUUGAAGCCAUUCAAUCAGCCACUAAUCAAGAGUUUAGAUACAACCCUAUUAUGAGGGAGAUUCAGUUAUUGUUAUCUUAUUCCCAGUCUUUUGAUGUUCUUCAUGUUGGACAGCAGGGAAAUAAGACAGCACAUAUAUUGCCCGGAAUGCACGGGUUGUUGCAAAUACUCUCCAAUGGUGGUUUCAUCCUCUUGACUUUAUUCAAGCAAGUUUAGCAGCGGAUGCAGUGGGCUAUUCAAGGGUGUAAUUGAAGGACUAAUGAUUGUAUUUUCAUUUAUGUAUUUUCAUUUACCUGCUUCUUUAUGGUGAAUGAAGCAAUAUUUGACUCUAAAAAAAAAAAAGAAUCUGUCAAUCAGGGAGUAUUAACGAAUUAAGUUUCAAACCA